GUGGGUGUAGCUCAGGGGUAGAGUGCAUGCUUAGCAUGCACGAGGUCCUGGGUUCAAUCCCCGGUACCUCUA
rnacentral:tRNA from 1 species